AUACGUAGGUGGCAAGCGUUGUCCGGAAUCAUUGGGCGUAAAGCGCGCGCAGGCGGUCCUUUAAGUCUGAUGUGAAAUCUUGCGGCUCAACCGUAAGCGGUCAUUGGAAACUGGGGGACUUGAGUGCAGGAGAGGAAAGCGGAAUUCCAUGUGUAGCGGUGAAAUGCGUAGAGAUAUGGAGGAACACCAGUGGCGAAGGCGGCUUUCUGGCCUGUAACUGACGCUGAGGCGCGAAAGCGUGGGGAGCAAACAGGAUUAGAUACCCUGGUAGUCCACGCCGUAAACGAUGAGUGCUAAGUGUUGGAGGGUUUCCGCCCUUCAGUGCUGCAGCUAACGCAUUAAGCACUCCGCCUGGGGGGUACGGUCGCAAGACUGAA
rnacentral:rRNA from 1 species